UGGGGAAUAUUGGACAAUGGGCGAAAGCCUGAUCCAGCCAUGCCGCGUGUGUGAAGAAGGUCUUCGGAUUGUAAAGCACUUUAAGUUGGGAGGAAGGGCAUUAACCUAAUACGUUAGUGUUUUGACGUUACCGACAGAAUAAGCACCGGCUAACUCUGUGCCAGCAGCCGCGGUAAUACAGAGGGUGCAAGCGUUAAUCGGAAUUACUUGGCGUAAAGCGCGCGUAGGUGGUUUGUUAAGUUGGAUGUGAAAUCCCCGGGCUCAACCUGGGAACUGCAUUCAAAACUGACUGACUAGAGUAUGGUAGAGGGUGGUGGAAUUUCCUGUGUAGCGGUGAAAUGCGUAGAUAUAGGAAGGAACACCAGUGGCGAAGGCGACCACCUGGACUAAUACUGACACUGAGGUGCGAAAGCGUGGGGAGCAAACA
rnacentral:rRNA from 1 species